CAGAGCAGUUAGCUAGGGCGCCAGUUAGGACCUUUCCUUGCCUCAUGAAAGCAUUGUUGGCUAACUUUCUUGGAGCUUUUCUAUUCCCUUUUCGGCCAGCAAAGAACCACUGUUCUUUUUGUGUCUCCAGUUUCCAAUAAGCCCCCAAACUGAAAGAAAAAAAAGCCCCCUUCAGGAUUAGACAUCUUACCUUGCUUCAUUUGUGUACAGCUGUUAAGUAGAUUCCAUGAUCUACCCAUGGUUUAUCUGAAUUGUAGCUGUAGCCAGAUGUGUGCCUAUAUUGAAACAGACCAGCCGUUUUGUAGAAGCUUGAACUCAGCUUGUCUCAGCUGGUCACCUCCUGAUCUGAUUGGUAUUGGGAGCUGAUCUUCACAGCUUCUCAGUAGCUAGCAUGCAGACAUUCCUUCUCCAGCAGUCUGUGUGCCUUCCUGAUCUACACCAAACCCCCUUCUUUUCUAGUCACCUGCUUAGUUGUCUUAUCACCUCAGAGUGGUCAGGAACAAGACCAGGUAGUCUAAACCAUGCAGUCACAUACAUGGAUUUAUCUUUGUAUAGCUCUGGGUGACUUAUAUGACCGCAAGACCUUGCCCAAGGUGGCAUUUGAUGAGAUUAAUUAUAAUUAAUUAGUCAUAACAUUAAACAAUUUACUGCCAUAAUGAAAUGUUAGAUAACCCUCUGGGCUCAUUGAUGUAAUCUUUGCAUUCUCAUUUUCUUUUUAAAGGGAAUCACAUGUGAUAGUGUGUUUGAGCACAGAUUUGCUAUCCUCAUAGGGCCAGCCAGCUGUCUGUUUGCACCCUGCUGUAGCAGGUGUGGGCAGAGUAGGAGUUAGUUCUCAUGUCCUGCCCUCUCUCAUGCCCUGCCCUUUCCUAUGAACAGACACCUUAGAACCUCGAGGCUGGGAUUGCAUGGCCCUGCUCAGAAGAUGAGUCACAGAGUCCGGGUUAGACUGUGGCUGCCCCUUCAGGGGGUGCAAGCUUCUCUCUCAUCAGUUAACACUCAGGAUAGCUUCUCCCCUUCAUCUGUUCGCUGCCUCCUCCUCUGUCUAACUGAUAUAGUUCAUGACCUGUAAUUAAGAGCUAGACAUCCCAGCUAUGGUCGUUUCCUGUUCAUGUCCUUUGGGCUGCAUGCAUUCCAUUUAUUUGUAACUAAAAGAAUACUUUCCACUUGCAAAUCUGCUAAUACUACCAAUAAAUGUGAGUUAUUGGUUUUACAUCUUCUCUAUACUAAAAUACUUGGGAUUGCACUCUCUAAAACUUAGAUUUUCAUUCUAAUGCCUGGUUUUACUUGAACAGAUAGUCUAUAUAUAACACAUUUGCUGUUUUGUAACAGUUUUAAUUGCUAAGUUUUAAUUGGUGUCUUAAGGCAUGCAUGCUUUCUCAGGCAUCUGCCUCUUCACACGGCUGUCCACUGUGUUCAAGUGAGCCAGAGUUGGCCACUGUUCUGUUUAGAACUGGCGCACCAUGUAACUUUGGCUCUUUUGACCUUUGACCCCAGCUUUCAGAGCUGCCCAGAUGUUUCUAUUAUAAACCAGGUGCAAGGACUCGCUCUUGUAUGUAGGCUAAGCUAGAUGUCUUGUAACCACACAGCCGUGUGUGGAGGGGAGGCCUAGUUCUUCCUGUAAGCUGUGUCAUGAGGCAGUGUGGUCAAGUGGAAGUGUGGUUGGCUCCACCUUGGCAUCUUUCCAUGCCAAGGUCCUAGGGCCUAACAAUAUGUCCCUGUCUUAGCUUCAAUCAAAAACAAAAGAAAUUGAUGGUGCCUGCCUGUUAUCCUAGCACUUGGGAGGCUGAGGCAAAGAAAAUAGUGAUUUUUGAGGAUAACUGUGGCAAGUUCAAGGCUGAUAGGGGCUAUGGUAAGAUCCCAUCUCAAACACAUGGGGGUGAGUCCCAUCUCAUAAACACAUGGGGAUGGGGUUUUUUUUAAGAAACAAAGGGGAAAGUCCCAAAAGGAUAAUAUCUUUCUAGAACGGAAGGAACUUUCCUUGUAUUUGAACAGUAAGGGGAAAAGGAGCAGCCCAAAAUCCCACGCAACCAUUCCAGGAGCAUAUGGGCUUUGACCACCCUGCCUCUGCAUCUGCCUCUGCAUGAAGAAAAGAUUAAACCUAAACCUAAGGGUGCCUUCCUUCCUCUCUGAUGUAGUUCCCUGUCUUUCCAUGUGUUGUCUCUCUUGUUUUUGCCUUUAUCCCUCUUCCUUAUCCCUCCUACCCUAAACCUUACAGAUAGCUCGGGAGGCUGAGGCAGCCAUGUUCCACCGUCUGCUGUUUGAAGAGCUUGUGCGAGCCUCCAGUCACUCCACAGACCUCAUGGAGGCCAUGGCCAUGGGCAGCGUGGAGGCCUCUUAUAAGUGUUUAGCAGCAGCUUUGAUAGUUCUCACGGAGUCUGGCAGGUAGGGCCCUAAGGGCAGGUAUCAUUAUAGGAUAACCAGCUUCUCGCGCAACUAGGUCCGCUAUGUGCCUGAGCCUAGGCACAGCCUCUCUCCUUCAGGAAGACAGCCAAGGUCACCAUAGGGCAGGACCAAAGGAUUCCCUUGGGCACAGUGGAAGUCACAGCACCUGGUGCAGGAUGGUUCCUGUGGAGUUUCUAAUCUUGCUCAGUUCAGAACAUGGAGUGGCUCACCUUCUCCUGGCCAUUUUUGUGCCCAGGGACAUGUUCCUUCCCAGUUGUCUGUGACUCCUUUCCUCCCUCUCCAUUUGUGACAAAGCUCUGACAAAGCCCUGUCCCCCGUCCUCGUCCCUCUGGACGGAUGUUGCUCCCCUAGAUUGCCCGAGAGGCAGAGGCUGCCAUCUACCACUUGCAGCUAUUCGAGGAACUCCGCCGCCUGGCGCCCAUUACCAGCGACCCCACAGAAGCUGCCGCCGUGGGUGCCGUGGAGGCCUCCUUCAAGUGCUGCAGUGGGGCCAUUAUCGUGCUCACCAAGUCUGGCAGGUAGGAGGCGGCAGUGGCUCCCUGGGGAUGCCCACGCUCAGUUGACACCUCUCCUUGAGGAUGCCAAGAGUGAGUGGCUCUGGGCCAGUUUAAGGCCCCUGGCUGCCACUAGAGGAUUCCAGGCAGCACUCACAGAUAGACCAAACCAACUGGCUGGCUCCAGUGCACGUUCAAAGCCUGCCUCACAGAGAGCUGGAACAAACACCCAGUUUCACCGUGAUUAGUACUGUGGGGCCUUUUGACAGAACACUGCGUGGCAGCUGGGCAUGGCGGAGCAUGCCUCUAAUCUCAGCACUUGGGCCAAAGAGGUAGGCGAAUGUCUGGAUUUGUAGCCUGUCUAGUCUACAAAGUGAGUUCCAUCCAGGACAGAGCCCUACUCACAAAAUAGCUCAGCUGGUAAAGUUGCUUGCUACACAAGCUUGACCCAUAUUUGGUCCCCAGAAACCAUGGAGGACGGAGAAGGCUGGCCCUGGGUAUGCGCAAGGGUACACACUUGGAGGGGUCUUGGUGGAUAAAGGAUUUGCACAAUCAUGACUAUCUGAAUUUGAAUCUGGCACCUUAAAGGUUUUUUAUUAUUACUUUUUAUUUUUUUAAAGUGCACACAGAGGUCACCAGGAAAGGUGGUCUGGCCUUUAGGAGCACUGUCAGUUCUUUCAGAGGCCCAACACCUGCCUAUAUAUGGCAGCUCACAACUGUCUGACUCCAGUCCUGGGGAAAUCUAAUGCAUGUGGUCAGAAUACCCAGGCAGCUGUAGUGAAUGUACGGUGGAGGGAGAGAGUGAGGUGCCCAGUGUCUAUCUAUCUAUAUAGCACAAUAGAUAGAUAAAAAAUACCCAAGUGUGGUGGUGUGUGCCUGUAGCCCCAGUGCUCAUGGUGCAGAGGAAGAAAGAGCAAGUUGUAUCACAGCCUAGCUACAGAAAGCCAAACACAUGUAAAAUCAGUGUGGAGGACUAGGCACUGGUCUGUC
rnacentral:lncRNA from 1 species